rnacentral:rRNA from 1 species
UUUUGGACAAUGGGCGAAAGCCUGAUCCAGCAAUGCCGCGUGUGGGAAGAAGGCCUUCGGGUUGUAAACCACUUUUGUACGGAACGAAACGGUCUGCUUUAAUACAGUGGGCUAAUGACGGUACCGUAAGAAUAAGCACCGGCUAACUACGUGCCAGCAGCCGCGGUAAUACGUAGGGUGCGAGCGUUAAUCGGAAUUACUGGGCGUAAAGCGUGCGCAGGCGGUUAUAUAAGACAGUUGUGAAAUCCCCGGGCUCAACCUGGGAAUUGCAUCUGUGACUGUAUAGCUAGAGUACGGUAGAGGGGGAUGGAAUUCCGCGUGUAGCAGUGAAAUGCGUAGAUAUGCGGAGGAACACCGAUGGCGAAGGCAAUCCCCUGGACCUGUACUGACGCUCAGCACGAA